rnacentral:rRNA from 1 species
CAAUAGCGUAUAUUUAAGUUGUUGUAGUUAAAAAGCUCGUAGUUGGAUUUUGGGUCGGGGGCACCGGUCCGCCGUUCCGGUGUGCACUGGUGGCCCCUUCCUUUCUGCCGGGGACGUGCGUCGCACUUAAUUGGGUGGCGUUCGGAGUCGGCGUUGUUACUUUGAAAAAAUUAGAGUGUUCAAAGCAAGCCAUCGAUCUGAAUACAUUAGCAUGGAAUAACAUGAUAGGACUCCGGUCUUAUUUUGUUGGUUUCCGAGACUGGAGUAAUGAUUAAGAGGGACAGUCGGGGGCAUCCGUAUUUCAUUGUCAGAGGUGAAAUUCUUGGAUUUAUGAAAGACGAACUUCUGCGAAAGCAUUUGCCAAGGAUGUUUUCAUUAA